rnacentral:sRNA from 1 species
UGAAUAUACCCAUGAGAGCUGCCUUAAGCUACAGCCUCUGGGAACAAGAGGACCAGAAUGAGCACCUUCUACAAGUUCCUAUAGCCAGUUCCCUAGGAGAGCACUUGUUGGGAGCCUGACACCUAGGCAAAACGUGCUCUUCCUGGCAUAUGAGUACUUGCUACCACCUCUUAUAAUGCUCCUUUCCCACUGUCAGCCAAGUGACCUUGGGAGAGAGCAACCUUUUUGACACAUAAAUCUGACAGAAAGGGCCAGGCACGGUGGCUCAUACCUGUAAUCCCAGCACUUUGGAAGGCCGAGGUGGGCAGAUCACUUGAAGUCAGAAGUUUGAGACCAGCCUGGCCAACAUGGUGAAACCCUGUCUCUACUAAAAGUGUGAAAAUUAGCCAGGUGUGGUGGUGCGCGUCUGUAGUCCCAGCUACUCAGGAGGCUGAGGCAGGAGAAUCUCUUGAACUGGGGAGGCAGAGGUUGCAGUGAGCCGAGAUCACUCCACUGCACUCUAGCCUGGGCAACAGAGCGAGAUUCCAUCUC